GAGAAUGCUCAGGAGAAUGGAGGAUUACAUCUGUAUUUUUACAUGGGAUUCAUUGGUGACAGACUAAGGAGGUGGGAUAAAGCAAAGCAGGGAAACCUCUGGGAUAGG